rnacentral:lncRNA from 1 species
AAGGUUUAUAGCGUGGUUCUCAACCUUCCUAAAGCUGUGACCCUUUAAUAGAGUUCCCUGUGUUGUAGUGACCCCCAACCCCAAAUAAAAUUAUUUUCAUUGUUUCUUCAUAACUGUAAUUUUACUGAAUUGUAACAUAAAUAUUGAUAUGCUGGAUAUCUGAUCUACAGUCCUGUCGUUUGAGACCCACAAGCUGAGAACCACUUGUUAAGAGGCAAGGCCACCUUUCACCAGGUACCCUGGCCAGGCACCUGGGAAGACUCUUCUGGCAUAUAUUCUUGGUCUGAGUGACACUGGCUCACUGGUGUGGCUUCGUGUCUAGCUUGGAAUCUAUGAAGGCCAGGGAAGCUGAGUCUGGAAUUUGCCAUCCCUAUCAAAGGCUACCCCGUUUUCUUCUGUGGGUGUUAAGUGUGACAAGGAAACCUCCUUUCACAAGGAGGGCAGUCAAGGCCUCCCCCAGACCUUCCAAUGGCUUGGUCUGAGGAGAUGAUGCCUGGACAGCGGGGCUUCCAUUCCUGGGCAGCCUGGAGGGCUGGCAUGCCUGGGAUCCUCGGCCACCCAGGAUCUUGGAGACAAGUGUCUCUUCACAUCCAUCACCUGCAGCUGGUGGCUGGUGGAGACCCGGAAGCCAGUGGGUCCUUGGACAACGUGAUGGUCACAGCUUGGGAAGAAAGCCAUCUUCAUUUCCUGAUGGACUGGCUGCCUGUAGGAGAGAAGCCAGAGCCACAUGCCCGUGCCAAGUGGUUUCUGCUCAGAACCCCUCUAUCCCGUACAGUUCCUUCUGUCAAUCUGCCAAACAGAGUAAUGAGAACUUUUUCUCCCAGGUCCUGGCUCUGUGGCCCGCCCAGGUCUUUCCUCACAGGAAGCAGGCCACCUGGUCGGUUUGUUCAGCAUGCCUCCUGGCAACAACUUACUGUUUGCUGAGUUCAUUGGACAUAUCAAAUCUACCACUCAGAGACUGUACUCCAGGCUUGGGCUAUGUGAUGCCAUUGGAUGUGGAGUGUAGCCAGCUAUCAGCUAUGGGGUGUUGUUAUUAUUGUGAUUAUUAUUAACUGAGGCUCCCUAACCCUGUGCGGCCUGAAACUCCAGGGUCAGAGAGGCCUGACUGCUCUCCUCCUGGCUAGGUGUUCUCAUGGCCCCGUGGCACUGCCUCUGAGUUUGGGAGGAAGGAGCCUGACCUGAACCUCUGCUUUACCAUUUCCAGAGGGGAUAGAGAGAGCCCGUGGUGGCUCAGCCAUGGCCCCUUACCUGGACAGAAUGUCAGGGCCUGGCCAGGGAUGGGCAGAGACAAGAGGUGUCUGUACCAGAGGUGGCGACUUGGUACUGCUUGACAUCUUUGCUCUAGACUUUUGUUCUCCUUGUUGUUAGGAAAGCCCUUGGGAAAGAUCUACCAGCUGGGGUGGAGAUCAGUCAAUGGGCUGAGGCUGAAAGAUGCUGAGGAAGAUGGAGAGGCUGGGUUUGAGCAGAGGUCCCACCAGGAGGUGGAUCUCAGUUCUACACCAAUCUUACACAGUUGAGCUAGGUCAGUUGGCCAUUGUGGGAAUCCUAUUUCUAAGAGACAAGACCCUCAGGGUGUUACACUACCAGCGUAUACACUAGCGGCUGACCUAAGAGC